UACGUAGGGCGCUAGCGUUAUCCGGAUUUAUUGGGCGUAAAGGGUCGCGUAGGCGGCCCGCCGCAUCUUAUCUUAAACUGUCACGCUUAACGUGAUUUCGGAUAAGAGAUGGGCGGGCUAGAGGGCCGGUGGAGUUUCUGGAACUUUCGGUGUAGCAGUGAAAUGCGUUGAUAUCGAAAGGAACACCAAGAGCGAAGGCAGGAAACUAACCGGUACCUGACGCUGAGGCACGACAGCUAGGGGAGCGAAGCAGAUUAGAGACCUGCGUAGUCCUAGCCGUAAACGCAUGAGUGCUAGUUGCGCGGCCGCAAGGCUGCGUGACGCAAGCUAACGCGUUAAGCACUCCGCCUGGGGAGUACGGCCGCAAGGCUAAAACUCAAAGGAAUUGGCGGGGACCCGCACAACCGGUGGAGCAUGUGGUUUAAUUCGAGACAAAGCGAAAGACCUCACCACGGUUUGACAUGCUAUCGUUUAUUUUCCCAGAAACGGGAGAAAAUCCGUAAGGAUGAUAGCAAAGCUGCUGCAUGGCCGUCGUCAGCUCGUACCGUGAGGUGUUCCCUUAAGUGGGGUAACGAGCGCAACCCUUACCGUUUGUUAAAUUUUCAAACGGGACUGUCCCGUAGUUUUACGGGAAGGAAGGUGGGGACGAAGUCAGGUCAGCACGGCGCCUAUGCCGUGGGCCACACACAUCCUACAAUGGCGAAAAACAACGAGUAGCAAGGCCGCGAGGCCAAGCAAAUCUCUGAAAUUUCGUCUCAGUUGGAAUUGCAGUCUGCAACUCGACUGCAUGAACUUGGAAUCGGUAGUAAUCGCGGAUCAGCAGGCCGCGGUGAAUACGUUCUCGGGUCU
rnacentral:rRNA from 1 species